GGACAGACCACCUCUUCCUUGCACAUUGGCAGUAAUCUGCAAUCCCUGCCUCCACACUGAAGUCACUGAUGUUUCUAAAAUGUUCUCCCCAGUGAGGCUCAAACUGCUUAGUUAGCAACUUGUAUAUGUUCCUUACUCACCUAUACAAAACCAUGUGUCAGUAUUUGAAGAAGUCCACACUUUGUGUCAGUCCACCCCACAGCCAUGCUUCCAUCUUGGAGCUUCUGUUCAUCAUUUAAGAUCCCCCCUCUGAUGAAUGUUGCCCUGAUGGCUUCCUAUACAUUCAGAACUAAACUUCCCCUUUAUCUUUUUCCACGAUAUUGUGUAUGCACAGAGUGAAUACAUUGUUAAUACAUUUAAUUAACAUUUUACAAGAGGCAAUAUAGCCUGGUGCCUUUUAAAAACCAUAAGAUUUUUAAUCCGUUUGAAAUCUGAUUUCAUCAUGAGCUCUGAAUCUCAAGUCAUUUGACCUCUCUGAACCUCAUUUACUCAUCUGUAAAAUGAGAUUCUAGUAAUACCUAUCUCACAGGGUGAUCAUAAUUAUCUGAGAUAAAUUGAAUAAAGCACUUGGAUCAGUAAAUCCAA